rnacentral:tRNA from 1 species
GGCUCCUUCGUCUAGCGGUCUAGGACAGCGGCCUCUCACGCCGUAAACACGGGUUCGAUUCCCGUAGGAGUCA